GGCUGGUCCGAUGGUAGUCGGUUAUCAGAACUUAUUAACAUUAGUGUCACUAAAGUUGGUACACAACCCCCCACUGCUAAAUUUGACUGGCUUAAA
rnacentral:Y_RNA from 1 species